rnacentral:rRNA from 1 species
GACGAACGCUGGCGGCGUGCUUAACACAUGCAAGUCGAACGGUGAUGGAGAGCUUGCUCUCCGGAUCAGUGGCGAACGGGUGAGUAACACGUGAGUAACCUGCCCCUGACUCUGGGAUAAGCGUUGGAAACGACGUCUAAUACUGGAUACGACUCCUUCGGGCAUCUGUUGGAGUGGAAAGAAUUUCGGUUGGGGAUGGACUCGCGGCCUAUCAGCUUGUUGGUGGGGUAAUGGCCCACCAAGGCGACGACGGGUAGCCGGCCUGAGAGGGUGACCGGCCACACUGGGACUGAGACACGGCCCAGACUCCUACGGGAGGCAGCAGUGGGGAAUAUUGCACAAUGGGCGCAAGCCUGAUGCAGCAACGCCGCGUGAGGGAUGACGGCCUUCGGGUUGUAAACCUCUUUUAGCAGGGAAGAAGCGAAAGUGACGGUACCUGCAGAAAAAGCACCGGCUAACUACGUGCCAGCCGCCGC